ACACUGAUGGGCCCUGACCACACCCUCCUCAGGGCUCCUCAACAUACUCUCCAAGAUUCGUGUCACUGGGUCCAUUCUACAGAUGAAGAUGAAGAAACCUAAGUUUAAAUAAAUUAAAAUGCUGUCCCAAUCCAUAGCUAAUCAGGAAAGGUGGAGAAGUAAAUGAGAUUUCAAAAUAGGAUUAACUGCUUGGAAUCUCAGUGCAGAAAAAAUCCUCUGUAUCUACUCAUAUCAGAGGAAUUAAAGGGCAUUAAUCAUCUUUAUAAAAAAAAGCCUAUAAAGGAAAUUUUACAUAUAAACACUUGCUCUUGGAAGCAGAAGUGUCAGAGGUUGUAUGCUGUAUAACCAUGUUAAAAUUUUUUCCACAGAGGGAGGAAAAUGGCAGAGGAAGUGGCAGAGUGCAUGCUUCGCAUGCAUGAGGUCCUGGGUUCAAUCCCCAGUACCACCUCUAAGAAUAAGUCACCAGCCCUCUGUCAGGGCUUCCGUGUGCUCGCGUGCAGGACAAGUGUCUGGGCCUCGACAAUGGAAGCCUCCAGUUCCCCAUCCCUGGGAGCCACAGUCAGACAUGCAGCCUCUCUCCUACAAAGAGAGAAGAGGGUGGCUAAGCUCUUUCCAAAGAGAGACCCUGUUAAUCCACGGUCUGUUGUGUCAACUGUCUGACCUGGGAAUUCAGUAUAUCUUUGAUAUUAAAUAAAUCCUAGUUUUUGCAAAAAGACCUAUUUCCCUGCCUUAUCCCAAAAGAUUUGAUGGUUAGAACAGAAACCCAAAUCCAAGCUUGUUCGUUUCUAAAAGAGGUCUUCUCUAGGGUCAAACAUGGCAGCUGUCCCACUGUCGUGGAGGAGUAAUACCAAAGCAUUCCCUUUCCUGGUUCCUUUCCCUUCCUUGCCAGUCUUCCGAAGGCCAAAGAGGAUGAGAAUGAGAACUGGGGAAGGCAGGUCUAACAUGAUCCUGCCCUGAUUAUUCUACCUGCCUCUGUUCAUGAGAAUGGUGACACUGGACAGCUCCUGGUUUCAUCCCUGUUUUAUCCACCCUGGCUCCAGAAGAUUAGCUAGAGAAACACAAAGGGUGACUAAAACGCCAGGUCCUAGGGUGCCUGAGGCCAGCAGGAAGAGCCCAGCAGGCCUCCUAUCCCCAGCUGACUCGUCCGCUGAUGCGCUCCAGAAAUGUCUACAAAAGCCGGGCGGUUCAUCAACCCCACACUCACUCCCCACCGUACGUGUAAUAAUAGUAGACCAGGAGAACGUCAAGGUCGGAAGCAAGCUUUAGCACAUCUGAGUGGUCAAUACUCUCACCUCACUGACAGGAUCAUACACUUAAAACAAAACAAACUGAAACACAUAUGCCCACAAGAGCUUUGAAUUUGUGACAGACCGUAUUUCCUUCCCAUCUCACAUGCUGCUCCUGCAGUGUGGUGAAGAUACUCCUCGGCUGAGAUGUGGGUCUCUGUCCCCGCCCUUGAGUCUGGGUGGGUCUCUGUCCCCGCCCUUGGGUCUGGGUGGACCCUACCUGUCUUGACCGACAGGCGGAAUCGCAGGCGGAAUCGGUUCUGGGUAACAUCCGAGGCUGGGCCACGCAUGAGAAGUCCCACAGCUUCUGCUUGCCUCUCCCUCUCCAGACACACGUCUUUGGAGCCCUGAGCCACCACGUUAAGAAGUGUGGUUACCCUGAAGCCGCCCUGCUGAGGAGACCACAUAGGCAUAGUGGCCUCAGCAGCUCCAGCUGUUCAGCCCCCAGCCAUCUGAGUUUUCCUAGUCCAGACUCACACGUGAAGGAGCCUUCAACAUGCCUCCCAUCCCAUCCACCACCUGACUGCAGCCUCACAGAAGCACCCCAAGUCAGAGCUGCACAGAUAAGCCAUUCCUAAAUUCUUGUCCUGCAGAAACUGAGAGAGAGAACAAAUGAUCAUGGUUUUAAGCUGAGGUGAUUUUGAUUGCUGGGAGUAAUUCGUUGUGCGGCAAUAGGAAAUCAAUAUGAGAUUCAUUACAAAAACCACUAAAAGCUUUAACCUCAAAGUCAGUCAACUAUUAAUUAAAUGAACCAGUAAAGCACCCUCCAAUCGGACGUCUUCAGACAACCUGCAGGCCCUCUUACUCUCUACGACCUUUCUCUGCUCUGUGUUGACACUGAGCCCUCACUGCCACAUGACAGGACCCUGAAUGCACGAGGGAUCCCCAGCACCUGACACACGGAGCGGGUGAUCACUGUGGCUGUGGAAUGAACCUGUCAUAAUGCACCUGGGGGGUGAGCUGGCUGGGUUUUCCUACAGUGCUGUUCGACUUCCCAGGAUCUGCCCUUCAGCUUGACUCAAGGUCUCCUGAUACAUGCUCACUGCUGAGUUUCUGACUCUCCUAUGACUACCUACAAAAUGACGUGACACCAAAUUUCUGGUCGGUUCAAACAUACACAUCUCACCAGAGAAACCACGCUGUCCCACUCCACGAUUCAGCUUAGCACCCGGAGCAAAGCUGAGAAGGAGGUCCCUUCUCAGCAUUCCUGUGUGCUGAUCCUUCCCAGGUGGUCUCAAACAUCAAAUAAAAGUCACUAUUUUUCACUCAAAGACCACAUGCCCAGUAGGAAAAUGACCUCCUGAUGGGUGGUUUACAUAGCAACUGUGCCCUCUAAGAAGGCCACUGAGCCUUCCUACACAUCUCUGUCUCUACGACCCUUGGAGUCUAGAUGAUUACACUGAGCAGCUGAAGUGCUUUUACUACUGCAGGCCUAACAGCCCUGCCGCUGGGUGGGUGUCAGAGCAGCACGCUUCAAUGCGCUUUCAAGUCAAAUGAGAACUGGCUAGUUAAGCAGCAGCAUUAACAGAUGUAGAAACACCGCCAGCUAAACACCUCCUGCCAAUUAUGGCUGCCCAGCUACACCCACAUUAAAAAUAACCCAACACUAAUAA